ACGCCUCCGUUUUCCAUUUCUCGUCGGCGCUCCUGUCCCAACCACUCACUCCCCUGGGUGGCUGGGUUCCUCGCCGCCGACCCUGCUACAGCCGCCGCUCGUCUGUUGAGCGGCCGUGCGUUCGCCGGCGCCGCCGCUCCUGCUGUACCGACGCCCCUGCUGCACAGUCCCCCGUCCUUGCCGCGCCGUCCCCCGUCCCUUCUGUGCCGCUGCGCCGUCCCCCGUCCCCGCCGCCGUGCGCUCGCCUCCGUCGAUGCCCUUGCUGCGCCUUCGCCAUCCUGCCCACCUUGAUCCUCCCGUCAACAUCUACGGCCUCCGUCAUUGCCGCCCCUGCUGCUCCCUCGCCGCCGAGCACUCGAGCAGAGAAGGUUAGUGGAGGAAAUUUUGUUCGGUGGAUGUGAUUUGCAUAUAGGCAUGGCUUGUUUGCUCAGUACCCCUAUGUUUUUGCUUGAAGAUAUCAUGGGGGUUGGUCCUGCAUAUUUUUUCUUUGGGUUGUGCUCCCUCUCCAUUGGAAGUAAUUGUGGUGAGAUUUGGUGAAAUGUAUGGUUUAUGUCUGUUGCAAUUAGGUUGUGUUGCUUCAAUUUUGGUUCAAUGGCAGGAGCGGCUUGUGGUUUAUCCAAAGCAUGUCGCAUCAUUUAGUACUGGCCCUGUCAUCUGAGGCGGAGUCUGCUCCUCCCCGUCCCGUGUGACGAAGGGAAGACUGCAGAGGUGAUAGGAGGUUCGUUUCGCACUCAUCGUCAAUGAAGUCUAGUCAGCCGUCAGCCCCAGAUACAAUAUAAAGCAGUCCACAAUUUGGUUUUGAUAGGCGGGAAGUUGAGAGGCUGAGAGCGGCGGAUCUUCAAUGCAUGUUCCUGGAGAAAAAAUUGUGCAAGCUCUGUACUGCCAAAGCCCAAAUAAAGAAUGAGGUACUGAAACAAGGCAAACAAGCAGGAGCAUAGAUUUUUCUAUUUCAAAGAGCAGAGAUUUGUUUUCAAAUGAGGAGUUACUUUACAUUUUGCAAUCACAGCUUUUCACAAUGCAAUUGCAGUGAUUUAAUUUUGAAUUGCAUACCAGCGGUUGUACUCCCUCCGAUCCUAAAUUCUUGUCUCAAAUUUGCGCAAAUAUGGAUGUAUCUACUCUUAAAAAGCGUCUAGAUACAUGUAUUAUUUCGACAACAAUUUAUGAUCGGAGUGAGUAUUUUUUA